GACGAACGCUGGCGGCGUGCUUAACACAUGCAAGUCGAACGGAAAGGCCCCGCUUUUGUGGGGUGCUCGAGUGGCGAACGGGUGAGUAACACGUGAGUAACCUGCCCUUGACUUUGGGAUAACUUCAGGAAACUGGGGCUAAUACCGGAUAGGAGCUCCUGCUGCAUGGUGGGGGUUGGAAAGUUUCGGCGGUUGGGGAUGGACUCGCGGCUUAUCAGCUUGUUGGUGGGGUAGUGGCUUACCAAGGCUUUGACGGGUAGCCGGCCUGAGUGGGUGACCGGCCACAUUGGGACUGAGAUACGGCCCAGACUCCUACGGGAGGCAGCAGUGGGGAAUAUUGAACAAUGGGCGGAAGCCUGAUGCAGCAACGCCGCGUGCGGGAUGACGGCCUUCGGGUUGUAAACCGCUUUCGCCUGUGACGAAGCGUGAGUGACGGUAAUGGGUAAAGAAGCACCGGCUAACUACGUG
rnacentral:rRNA from 1 species